rnacentral:rRNA from 1 species
AUACGUAGGGGGCGAGCGUUGUCCGGAAUGAUUGGGCGUAAAGGGCGCGUAGGCGGCGCGGUAAGUCUGGAGUGAAAGUCCUGCUUUCAAGGUGGGAAUUGCUUUGGAUACUGCCGCGCUUGAGUGCAGGAGAGGUUAUCGGAAUUCCCGGUGUAGCGGUGGAAUGCGUAGAGAUCGGGAGGAACACCAGUGGCGAAGGCGGGUAACUGGACUGCAACUGACGCUGAGGCGCGAAAGUGUGGGGAGCAAACAGGAUUAGAUACCCUGGUAGUCCACACUGUAAACGAUGAAUGCUAGGUGUAAGAGGUAUCGACCCCUUUUGUGCCGGAGUCAACACAAUAAGCAUUCCGCCUGGGGAGUACGGCCGCAAGGUUGAAACUCAAAGGAAUUGACGGGG